UGAACUGGAGAAGUAGAUUAGCAGAGUUUCUUGCCAAGGCUGGGAAGCUGCUAUUACAGACUGUCCCCGGGGGAAAUGGCUCACAUUAACCACUAAAUGAAUAUUUGACAAGGGCUCAUUCGGGGGUAUUAUUACUACAAACGGGUCCCUACUGGACUUUCUAAGGGUCAAAGAGCAAUGGUUCAAUUAAUUAUUUAGACUGUUAGUAGAUUUGGUUGUAAUAGCUGUACUUAUUUCUACAACCGACAAAUUCUUACAGUAGGAGCCCUCGGGAGACUCUUCCCCAUCAGCAAUGCCUUGCGAUUUAAAUACACAAAUAGGGAAGGUCCGCCAAGUGGGAAAACGGCUGUCUUUUUCCGUGACAUUUCUUGACAGAAAACAUAUUUUUCUUUAAGAUGCCCAUUGCUCUUGUCAGACAACAAGGGCUGCGUAUGAUCAUCACAAUGUAUCGCAUCACAACAUUAAUCUCUCUUUAUGUGUAACAUGCAAGAGACCUGCAUAGUCGUCUUUAGAAUAGGCUGUAGAUAGCUCAGCCAUUUAAACGCUCUAUAUUAUGAAAGAAAGAGGCCCAUGGCGAUAGGUAUGGUUAGAUACACUUCAUUUAUUUCCCUCCUGAUCUAACUCAAAUAUUAAAAUCUAGAGGCAUGCUGAGCAACAGAGGAGAUUUGCAAUGAUGUAUUCAAAAUGCUGCAAUUUAGACUGCAGGAAACCCUAGUCCUGCGAAUGUUUUAAAGCUGACCCAGCCUUGCCUGAAACAUUCGUUCCAACGUUUUUGUUGCUGUGGGCGAUUUUUUUUUUUAAUUUCAUUUGGUUUAAUGUCUGCCACAAACAUGUCCGCAGCAGUAGAUACUAAAAAAUGUUGAAACUGAGAUUAGGUGACAAUAAUAUAUGUUUGAAUGAAUGAGAUAAGCGGCAAGGGGGGAGCGGGAAGCAGUAAUUACAAACCCAAUUCAUUCAGCUUUUCAGGACUUUUGUUGUGGGAGCUCCAUUGACGGGUUUCGAGCUGCCAGUUUUCUCACAUUAAAAAGGACUGAUCAACGCCUCGGGGGGACAUGCAAUACCGCUUAACUGCAUAGUGAUGGGGUCCUCAUUUAGAGCCAUUACAACAAGAAAAUUAAACAGAGCCUUUGUGUGCGCCAGGUUUACUUUUCAAUUGCUGACAGUUUAUAGCUAACUGCUCAGAGAUUGAAGUUUGAUUGCGGUUUGAUCGCCUGCUAGUUAGCACCACAGCUAUUUUAGUUUUGGUAAUUAAAACCAGCUUUUCUGAUGAUGCCCGGGGAAUUUCAAGAGUUGGUCAUAUUUUGCUUUUGAGGAACCAAGUCCACUUGACAAGGAGGUGCAGCACAGAACCUACAGGCUCCAUUGUGGUGGGGACAAACAUAAAAUAAAGAUACGAUCAAAUACUGUGGCCUGACCAAAGAGAAGUUUAUCGUUCCUCUGAGCGAGCUUCCUAAUAUGAAGUUAAAACCCUUUAUAUCUGAACACACUAGAGUCCAAAGGAUAUCCUGAUGUUGAAGAAACCUCUUCAGCUUUACACCCAGUGCCUUAUCGCCAUCAGAGGUGGAAGGGGACAGUUAAAUGAGUGUGUAACAGCUGUAGAGCAACAAUUUGAAUAUUAAUAUUUUAUUUUCUUCAAACAACAACAAAAAAAGAUACUUCAAAACCAGUAAGAAGGAUAAGCUUGGAGCGCCCAGUCACCGUGGUAACUGCCAGAAAAAUUCUCCUGAAGUUUGAAGAGGUCAGCUAACAGGGUCAACAACUCUGGCCUCUUUCUGAGCUGGGCCUGGCAGGCCCCAUCCUGCAGUUGGAGUGGUAGGCCAGGCCUAGCCCUGGGAGGUGGGCCAUUCCAGCUCUGAUAUAAAUUUUUUGAGUCAGUUCACGGCCUGGACUCUCCAGGUGGUCUCCAAAAUCGAUUGUGACCUUCUGACCCUGUCUAACGGAGGCAUAGCAUCCAACCUAAGUAAGGAUUUAGCCAGGAAUGACAGCUUUCCACUGAGUGUUAUUGGGGACAGUACAAACAAUUUUGGAAGCAAGGAGGGCUACAGCAAAAACAACUUAAUGACAUGAGAAGGCCCACUGACUUCAGAGGGACUCCUUGUGGGAACAAGACUGGCAGAAUCUGGCUCAUACUCUGCAAUGAGGACUAGUGCCUUUGCUUGGUUUACAGAAAACAUAUUUAAAAAUGAGAGUUAUGAGCAGUCAAAUGAUUUUUAGCAGAGCUUACUAUAUCCUCAUCUCCUUUGUGGCAUGAUUCUACAUUUUCCCUGUCCCGCCUAACAAGCACAUCGGUCUGCAUGAUGGAGAAUGUAAGUAUUUCCCUGGGACACAGAUCAAAAUUCUCCCAACCCCUGCCCCAGCCUUACCAUCAAGAACAGGCAAAAAUAAUUGGCACAGGAAAUAAAUGAGUGAAUACCAAGAUCUUUGGUUCUCUGCAAUUUUACUUGCAUUUUAGAAUAACCUGAAAAAUUGGACAUUUCCUUAAAACAAAAUCGAGUUGGGGCCUGAUUAUCGUCUGUCUGUUCACGUCAUGCAGUCAUGUGCACCUGAGCAAAGUGGAUAUAAAAUGCACAGAUACAAAUGAAAACACAGGAAGUGGAGAAAAAAGCCCUUUAUCUUUUUCCAUAGUGAAGAUUCAGCCAUCAUGCAUACAAAUAAUAGAUCGUCUCCAACCAAAUAUUAGCAGCAGCAAAGGUGAGAAUUUCUAACCUCCUUCAUGCCAUUUACUUCAAUGCAAUGUGAACUUCAAAACACGAUGAAUCCAUUGCAAUAGUUUAUUAAGUAUAGGCUAUUCCUUUACACUUUAUUUAAUUCAAAAAGCAAGGGAAUUAUAUACACAAACAGGCUUAAUGAAAAGUUAAGGAUAAACAGUCAAAAACACCAAGAGAGACAAGGAGGGGGAGGUAAUAUCUUUUAUUGGACCAACUUCCGUCGAUGAAAGAGACAAGGUUUUGACCUGCAGAAGAGGUCUAUGUAGUUCAAAAGCUUGUCUCUUUCACCAAGAGAAGUGGGUCUAGGAAAAUAUAUUCCUUCACCCACCUUGUGUGUCUACUAUCCAGGGACCAACACAGCUAUAGAAACACUGCAAAAUCACCAGGGGCAGGAUUGUGGCAUUUAACCAUAGCAUUUAGUAUGGGCUGGUAAAGAGCUGCACUGCCCUGGGGGAACCACUAGAGGCAGCAUGUCUCCCAGAGAUGGCUGCGCUCAGGGAAGCAUCAUGGAAGGGGUGCCACAGUUCCUUCUCCGCACUCCCCCUAUAUCUUUGGCGCAUGGCUGGCCAGCUUUGCUGACUGGCAUGUAGGGGGUAGGCAGAGCCAUGGUGCCCCACCUACUCCCUGCCCUUCCCCACCUCAUGUUGGGUUGGCUCUAGCAUGGGUUAUAUCAGGUAGUGGCAGCCUCCACACAGGAGCUACAGUUCAGGCUGGCCCUUCUGCAGGUGCCCCGAAUAGUGGGAGGUUCGGUACUCCUCCCUACCUACUGUGCUACAUUUAAGAGCCUGCUACCAUCUAGCCCAGAGUCAGGAAACACAGAAGUUAAGGUUCCAACAAGCAACAUUAACUUGGCUAUGUUUCACAUUGGAAGUAUUUUCUAUUUCUGGUUGUGGUUAGAUGUGCAAUUUAAUGUUCUGUUUAUGUUGUCAAAGGUAUACCAUGGAGUAGCCAUUAUGUACAACCUAACCCACUGACCCGGCCCUUGAAACUUUAACUUCUGUUUUUCUUGAUGGUUUGUGAUUUAGCUGUGUAUCCUGAUGGUGCAUAACCUAGUUUAUUGCAUAUAAGAUUAUAAAGGAUGUGUUACCCUCUGCAACUAGUUGGAGAGUUUCAGUCAGAGAGGUUUCAGAGUAGCAGCUGUGUUAGUCUGUAUCCGCAAAAAGAAAAGGAGGACUUGUGGCACCUUAGAGACUAACAAAUUUAUUUGAGCAUAAGCAUCCGAUGAAGUGAGUCAGAGAGGGCAUGUCAUAUAAGCUUAGCCCUCAUUUGAAUUAUAGCCAUUAUACACACACUUUCUAAUGCAAAGCUUCGUGUGCUGUUUCACCAUUAUGUUAAAUCCUGAUCAGGAAACAAACUUUAAAAUCCCCGUUAUAAUGUAACACAAGUAAAUUAUGCCUUGGGCAUAUACAAUGGAAGUAUAGAUUAUUUUAGAUAUAUAAAAGUUCUACUUAAGUUGAGGUUAGUGGUUUAAUUACAGGAUUUUUUUUUAAAUUGCUGUUAAUAAAGACAGCCAGUGUUUCCCCCCCUUUGAUUUACCUCCAGAUCAACCAUAUUCAGUACCCCUUUUCUGGCAUUCACAGCAACAUGGGUGGGUUGGCAGGAUCUUAUAGGCAUUUCCAUCUUCCCAGCACUGAUAUUUUUUCCUGGAUUGUAGCACCAACUCCACAGUGUGCCAUUGUUUGGAAUCUUUCAGUGACUCUUCUUCUCCCAACCUGAAACCUGCCCCAGACCCAUAUUUCUUCAUUACAGUUUUUCAAAACAAUUAUAGAAACACUGAUUGCAGUAAGAGGCAGUGUGAGCCAAUGAUUAGAUCAGAUGGUGGAGAGUCAAGAGACAUGGGUGGUGUUCCACAUUCUGCCUCUGAUUUCCUGUUUCACCUUGGGUUUGGCCUUGGGCAAAUUACUUAACUGCUCCGUGACUCAGUUUCUCUAUCCCUAUUCCCUAAUGGGAAUAAUAAUGCUUACCUGUAUAAAGUGCUUUGAGAUCAUUGAAUAAAAGGUGCUGUGUAA